UACGAAGGGGGCUAGCGUUGCUCGGAAUCACUGGGCGUAAAGGGUGCGUAGGCGGGUUUUUUAAGUCAGAGGUGAAAUCCUGGAGCUCAACUCCAGAACUGCCUUUGAUACUGAAAGUCUUGAGUAUGGGAGAGGUGAGUGGAACUGCGAGUGUAGAGGUGAAAUUCGUAGAUAUUCGCAAGAACACCAGUGGCGAAGGCGGCUCACUGGCCCAUAACUGACGCUGAGGCACGAAAGCGUGGGAGCAAACAGGG
rnacentral:rRNA from 1 species